GUGGCAUGACUCAAGUCCCGUAUUUCUGGUUGGGAUAUGCUCUGAUAUUAUUUGUAAUGCCUCAAUGGAAGGCCCAAGCCACAUGACCUAUACUCCAAAAGGACUAGUUAAUGAUACAAUUGGAACUCCAUUGGAACAUUAUAAAGAGCAAGAAUUUCUCUUUCCCAAGCAAUGUGAGAUCUCAUACACUACCUACCCUCAUCACUUAUCAAAAUGGGGUAUCGCAAUCUAACCGUCUGAGCAAAUAAGUUGAUUGUUUUUGUUUUUUAUUUUUUUUAUAAGGUUCCUGAUUUUGCUAAAUAAAAAAAUGCAGUACAUGAAGUCCUUCCUUUUGAAGUAAAAUUUUGAUUUUGCUGCUAUCCAAUGCCAGCGGUGGACUAAAACAUGGGGCAUUUUUGUGUCAUUACUUGCCAAAUGAAACUUAAUACAUGUUGGGCUUUUAUUGCAGAGUGAUCGUCUUAGCAACUAAACAUUCUAAAUCUUGUAAUAUUAAAAUUGAGAAAAAAGUGUAAUGCUUUUACAUUAUGUAUUAUACUACUAGGGGGAAAUAUCUCUCUAAGUAUGAUCUUGAAUCUAUUUUGUUUUUGUCGCUUGACAUUAUUUUCCCGUUCAAAUAUGGAUUUAGUUAUUAUCAUUAUUUCCUUUUUCAUGAGAAUGAUUUGGCCUUGUGGUUAACUUUUCUCUCUCGACCUCGACUUGUGAGCCCUAAGAGCGUGGUGGUGCAGCCCAUAUAAGCAAUGACUCCGUUAACUGUGUAAUCGACAUAGAAAGAGUCAACGGUGUCCGACAACUCUGCUGGGAGUACUCUGGCAUCAUGAUCUUCCUCGGUGACAGAUCUUGUUGUUUGGAGAUGUCAAAAGUGAGAGAUAGAGAUUGCCUAUCAACAAGAGGACGCCGAAACCCUAACCUUCAGUGUUUCGGUGUACUCUCACAGUUGAUAGAGACAACAUCGCCAGACGUUUCUCUAUUUGAAUAGGAACUUCGUUGUCGCCCUGAAGCUCAUUUCGAAGUUCUCUCACGUCUCACAAAAGCUCUCGUAGUUUUGGGCAUGCACAUAUUUGCUUCUAUUUUUGCAUCGCAUCGUUGAGCUUGCUCUUGGUCCUGCAUCUGAAAUUUAUGACCACUGGUUGGUUGCUCUAGCGGAAUGAGAGCACAUAUGGUUAUUUUCGGUGAUGACUGCUGAAAAUGGUUCUUUGUUUCACUCAGUAUUCACGUCAUUAUGGGUCAGUUUGUGCGCUUUUGGGUGGAAUCCAAGACCUUCAAAUUUUCACUAGAGGCAUGGAUGUCCUCAGUAAAAAUUGUGGAGAAGAGCAGAUGGGUUUGGAGGUCUCUAGUUAUGGGUUGUAGCAGUAUAGGGUGGCUAGUGGAGAUGGUGGAAGCUAUGUUUCAAGCAAGAAGACAAACGAAGUUUCAUCAAACACGUGCUCUGAAGGAAAUAGAGCCUUCGUGGCUCAACGAUGCUCCAACAUACACGAAAGAUUCUUAACUGUAACCAAAUAUGGUGAAGGAGGUAGGCACGGGGUUCUAGUCAUUCCAGAAGGGUAUGAAGGCCUGGCUUGGGAGAAAUUUGUUGUCGAGUUGUGCAGAUUCGCUGAUCUUCUCCCUCACAAUGGGUCAUUGGGGAAAAGCCUAAAGAAUUUAUCUACUCAUGAGAACAACAAUAUGGGCCUGAAGCAAAAAGACCCGAGCGCAACCACGGUGGUGAGGUGUUCAUAUGCAGAAGCUCUGAAUAUGCAUCCUGCUUCAGUGACUCAGUUUGCUAAUAGGGGCAAGAAGGAUAGCAGUGAAAAGGGUAUGCAGCCUUUACAAAUUGCACAUGGACAUAUUCCAAGUCAGAAGGGGUCCGACUCGGGUGGUUUGGGUCUUCCUAAUGGCAUGCACUGUACAUUAAAAGAGAUGCAAAACUAGCUUGUUGAGUUGAAGGCCGAGGUUGCUUUAUUAUCAGCAAAACUUGAAGGGCUAGGUGUGCUAGGAGGUGGUAAUGGUGCUGCAAGGCAGAAUAAGGGCGGGCUUGGCGUGUUAAGUGAUGGGCCAAAUGCUAUAAAAUUAGAUAAAGGAAAAAAGAAAGUUGGGUUUGGCCCAGUUUCAAUAUCUAGACCCAAGCGAGUGUGGCGGGUCAAAAGGAGAAGCGGAUCAUCUACAUUCAAAGUGGGUUCUACGUUCGGUAUUGGCAUGGAGACGGCCGAAAUGGACUGCCUUUCACCAAGGGUGACUCGGAAAAGUUUGUUGACAAGUGGCACAGUCAAUGCUCUCUUCAUCGAAUCGAUAACACUUACGACAGAACUUGAGGUAUUGCCAAGUUUUGGGGGAGUUUCUGACCCCAAACUUCCUCUAACUCCAAACUUCAGGCACCUUGUGGGUUGAAACAUAGCCAAGGUGGUGACAGCACCAAUGGCGUUGUGGACGAGAUGCAAGAAGAUGGUGGUGUGGAGGAAGGGAUGGGGCUAUCAUUGGUACCUUGCGAGGAGGAAUAUUUAGGGCCUGGCCUACAGUUUGUAGUAGAGUCUGCAGAAGAUGUUGUUCCCUUUAUAUCUCUCCCACCGAUGAACAAUAUAGCUGAUUCAUCAUCAGAUUGGGUUUUGGACAAGGUAAAUGAGAUGCAACAGUGUGUGGGGAUUACCUGCGAAGGAUUUGAGGACCAAUUCAUAGCACUACUCACUGCAAUAGAGGCGGUAGAGAGCUAAAGCGUCUUACUUGAGAAAUCAACUAUGACAUUAAGAGAGGUAGUUCUAGUUGAGGGAGGACCAAAGGGAAGUCAGAACCAAUUGUAUGUUUUUAGUAGGUUCGUUUGGAGUGUACAAGUAUUGAGGAGUGUGUUGGGGAAUUUACAGCGGCUUGGUGUGUGGGCAAAACCUGGCUUGGUGGGAUAGGCAUGGGUGCACUGGUGGUGGUUUGGGGCAAGCGCGUCUUUGGGCUUGGGCUAGGGUUUUUGUUAGAAUCAUUUUUCUAGAUGGGCUUGGGCUAGGGUUUUGUUAGGAUCAUUUUCCUUGUUUUCUCUGCAUCCCAACUAGGUGUUUUCUCUUGUAUACAUCCAGUGUACUUGGCUAUGCCUAUUGGUAUUAAUAAAUUUUACUUAUAUAAAAAAAUAUGGAUUUACUUUAAACUUAAAAAAAAAAGAAAUAUGUAUUUAAUUCAAAAUAGGGUUAUAUGGUGUACCACAUCUUCUGGUUAUAGUUGAGACAUGGGGACAAAAUCUUACAAUUAUAGUGGUUAAGCAGCAGUGGGAGUCCUCCCAUUGGGAAGCCCAUAGCCAAGUAGGGGCUUUCUAUUGGGUUAAAUAAUUUAAAAGGAAAUUGGAAAAAGAGGCAUUUCUUACCGGUGCAAAUUUCUUUAUUAGUUCAGCUUGAAUGGUCAAAACAGUAUUUUCUUGGAAAUAAGAAUCUUUGGAUCAAGCUUGAUGAAGUGAGAGUUUAUUGAGAUUAUUUACACCUGGACUUCAAACUAAUUUUUUUUUUGGUUGAAAUGAUUUAGUCUUCCAAUGAACCAUCUAUCUAUGGAAAAUGCACUAUUUCAGUAGUUUCUAAUUCCUGCU